rnacentral:lncRNA from 1 species
AGAGAGGGUUGAGGGAAACACAAGAAAAAUCACCACUGAUUCCAUGAGCUCCUGUGGCCGAGGAUUGGCAGAACCUGUGGUCGAGAGGAUUGAAGGAGCUUGAGAGAACAGGAGGGGGCGCUCAUUCUCAAGCUGCCUGGGGAGCUAGCAUUUGUCUUCCCUUCGUCACCGUCACCACUUCUGAGCAACUGCCCACGGGGUAGAGGGCUCUAAACCUCUCACCUCCUUCAUCACAGUAGAAUUACAUUCUCCCCUGGAUUAAGAAAAGCUCUGACCUCCUGAAACCUGGUCUCUAAGCGUGAGGGAAACAGUCAGCGGGUCCAUUCAUUACCUCUGUGAUCGCAGCUCUCCCUGGGACUUUAAAAAGCAAAACUCCAUCUGUAUCUUCCAUCACGUAACCUGAAUUGUGCCCGAAGAAGGCAGAGAGUGGAGAGAUAACAACUCGUUUAGGGCAGCCCCGAAAGGGUUUCCGAAACUCCUCCUGCCAGCUGACAGGCAAGAUCUGAGUAUUGGCGCCCCAUUUAUCCCUCAUUUCCUGCCGUCCCCACCUCCACCUGUUGUGGAUUUGUGAAAAAGAAAGCGUCAAUUUUCCGAGGGAGGUAACCAUGGUUUCAACGCUGGCUCAGCUGUGUGAACUCGCUGUGUUUCUUAACCUCUCUGGGCCUAGUUUUUCACAUCUAUAAAUGAGAAUAAUGAGCGCCAUGUUUGUAACAGUGCUGGCUUAUAGUAGGCACUCAGAAACAGAACAAAAACGCCCGGUGAUGCAGAGGCAGAGACGUCCCCUCGAGGUGCUCACAGAAGGACCAGUCCUUACGCCGCGUCCCUUCAGUCAUCUGAUGCAACUCGGAAAGUGUCAAAGCCUUCACGUCCUUCCCCAGAGCGCUGGAUACGAUUAUCUUUCUACUAUUCAUUGAAACCAAGUGAAUUAGAUUAAAAAAUUGGGGUCCUCCUGUCCAGAUAGCAUUUGUAUUUCCAAAAGGGCUGCCUCGUCCUGGAUGCUGAACUAAGGCAGCAAACGCAGCUGUAAAUGACUCAGUCCAGCGAGUCUCUCUCGGGACUGGAUUCGGUCCUUUCAGGCAGGUGGGGAGCUUCACUGGCGCCCUCGUUUGUGGGAAAGAGCAGACAGAUCUGUGUUUUGUUCUAGAAGGACCUUUCACGUUCAGUCUGGCUGAAGCAGAAUUCAACGGUUACUCUAACCAUAGAUCGCACUGAGGAUCUGAGGAAAUUAUGUUCCCACGGCCCCCAAAGGGGGGAAAGCAAUUAAAACACAAGUCAUUAUUACAUUCUAAAUAUGGGCCACGUUGGCUCCCUUGAAAGCUAUUAAC